UUUGAUCAUGGCUCAGAUUGAACGCUGGCGGCAGGCCUAACACAUGCAAGUCGAGCGAAUGAGGAGAGCUUGCUCUCUGAUUUAGCGGCGGACGGGUGAGUAAUGUAUAGGGAGCUGCCCGAUAGAGGGGGAUACCAGUUGGAAACGACUGUUAAUACCGCAUAAUGUCUACGGACCAAAGUGUGGGACUUCGGGCCACAUACUAUCGGAUGCACCUAUAUGGGAUUAGCUAGUUGGUGGGGUAAUGGCUCACCAAGGCGACGAUCCCUAGCUGGUUUGAGAGGAUGAUCAGCCACACUGGGACUGAGACACGGCCCAGACUCUACGGGAGGCAGCAGUGGGGAAUAUUGGACAAUGGGCGCAAGCCUGAUCCAGCCAUGCCGCGUGUGUGAAGAAGGCCUUAGGGUUGUAAAGCACUUUCAGCGAGGAGGAAGGGGUGUGUGUUAAUAGCACAUAUCUUUGACGUUACUCGCAGAAGAAGCACCGGCUAACUCCGUGCCAGCAGCCGCGGUAAUACGGAGGGUGCAAGCGUUAAUCGGAAUUACUGGGCGUAAAGCGCACGUAGGCGGUUUGUUAAGUUGGAUGUGAAAGCCCCGGGCUCAACCUGGGAAUUGCAUUCAAAACUGGCAAACUAGAGUAUGUGAGAGGGGGGUAGAAUUCCAAGUGUAGCGGUGAAAUGCGUAGAGAUUUGAGGAAUACCAGUGCGAAGC
rnacentral:rRNA from 1 species